AGGUAGGGUGGCCGAGCAGGCGGCGAGCUGUAGCCUCGUAUACGGGCGUCAGCGUCCCUCUAUCAA
rnacentral:tRNA from 1 species